AACGCACGAGACCUGCGGACCUGCGGAGGGAUCAUUACUGAAGUGAUUUGGGGAUGUUGCUGGCCCUCUCUCAAGGGGGGGCACUGUGCACUCCUCGAAACAAUUCACAAUUUCCAUCACACCCCUUGUGCACACCUUGUAGGCACCCAAACCCACCUCCGGGUGGUGGGGUCCUAUGUAUUCCUUCAUCUCACACUCUGUUGAAUGGUGCCAUGGUACGCAUCUAAAGGAUUAUUUGUA
rnacentral:misc_RNA from 1 species